UCGUGCCUGCGCCGCCAUUGUAAUUUUACUGCGAAAGAUUGGUUUUGACUUUUCAAUAAUUGAAAUCAUUGAAAUUGUGAUUGAAAUUCGCAUGAGCGCCGCUGGAAUUACUAAUAAUAAGGAUAAAUCUUUCUUGUUAAUUAAUUAUCUUGACUAUUUAAAUAAAUUUUUCGUGCUUGAUUAUUCGUGCGUGAUUCGUGCUUGGUUAUUGAUAAAAGUAAUUUUGUUUUACAUUAAAAAUGAGGCAAUGUGUUAUUCCCAAGUGUAAAACGCGAUCAAAUUACGUGCUGUACCUUUUACUGAUAGUGACAACACUAGAUGGGAGGCAUGGUUCAUCAAUUGUCCAAUAUUACGGAAAUAUACUCGUAGGCAGUUAGAAAACGUUAAAAUUUGUGAAAACCACUUUCUACCCAGAAAAAAGACCUACUUAUUGGUAAUCAACGUGCACAGUGGUCCAUCAUUGAGGAGCUCUAUGCUACAGAUGGUGAAGCCGGACGUGCAAGAACCACAACCCUGACGGAUAAACACAUUAGACCAACUUCUUAUGACAAGAUGAA